rnacentral:rRNA from 1 species
UAAGCCUGUGAAGGUGGCCUGUGAGGGUUGCUGGAGGUAUCAGAAGUGCGAAUGCUGACAUAAGUAACGAUAAAGCGGGUGAAAAGCCCGCUCGCCGGAAGACCAAGGGUUCCUGUCCAACGUUAAUCGGGGCAGGGUGAGUCGACCCCUAAGGCGAGGCCGAAAGGCGUAGUCGAUGGGAAACGGGUUAAUAUUCCCGUACUUGGUGUUACUGCGAAGGGGGGACGGAGAAGGCUAUGUUGGCCGGGCGACGGUUGUCCCGGUUUAAGCGUGUAGGUGUGUGUUCCAGGUAAAUCCGGUUCACUUUAACACUGAGGCGUGAUGACGAGGCACUACGGUGCUGAAGCAACAAAUGCCCUGCUUCCAGGAAAAGCCUCUAAGCAUCAGGUAACAUCAAAUCGUACCCCAAACCGACACAGGUGGUCAGGUAGAGAAUACCAAGGCGCUUGAGAGAACUCGGGUGAAGGAACUAGGCAAAAUGGUGCCGUAACUUCGGGAGAAGGCACGCUGACACGUAGGUGAAGUGAUUUACUCACGGAGCUGAAGUCAGUCGAAGAUACCAGCUGGCUGCAACUGUUUAUUAAAAACACAGCACUGUGCAAACACGAAAGUGGACGUAUACGGUGUGACGCCUGCCCGGUGCCGGAAGGUUAAUUGAUGGGGUCAGCGCAAGCGAAGCUCCUGAUCGAAGCCCCGGUAAACGGCGGCCGUAACUAUAACGGUCCUAAGGUAGCGAAAUUCCUUGUCGGGUAAGUUCCGACCUGCACGAAUGGCGUAAUGAUGGCCAGGCUGUCUCCACCCGAGACUCAGUGAAAUUGAACUCGCUGUGAAGAUGCAGUGUACCCGCGGCAAGACGGAAAGACCCCGUGAACCUUUACUAUAGCUUGACACUGAACAUUGAGCCUUGAUGUGUAGGAUAGGUGGGAGGCUUUGAAGCGUGGACGCCAGUCUGCGUGGAGCCGACCUUGAAAUACCACCCUUUAAUGUUUGAUGUUCUAACGUGGACCCGUGAUCCGGGUUGCGGACAGUGUCUGGUGGGUAGUUUGACUGGGGCGGUCUCCUCCUAAAGAGUAACGGAGGAGCACGAAGGUUGGCUAAUCCUGGUCGGACAUCAGGAGGUUAGUGCAAUGGCAUAAGCCAGCUUGACUGCGAGCGUGACGGCGCGAGCAGGUGCGAAAGCAGGUCAUAGUGAUCCGGUGGUUCUGAAUGGAAGGGCCAUCGCUCAACGGAUAAAAGGUACUCCGGGGAUAACAGGCUGAUACCGCCCAAGAGUUCAUAUCGACGGCGGUGUUUGGCACCUCGAUGUCGGCUCAUCACAUCCUGGGGCUGAAGUAGGUCCCAAGGGUAUGGCUGUUCGCCAUUUAAAGUGGUACGCGAGCUGGGUUUAGAACGUCGUGAGACAGUUCGGUCCCUAUCUGCCGUGGGCGCUGGAGAACUGAGGGGGGCUGCUCCUAGUACGAGAGGACCGGAGUGGACGCAUCACUGGUGUUCGGGUUGUCAUGCCAAUGGCACUGCCCGGUAGCUAAAUGCGGAAGAGAUAAGUGCUGAAAGCAUCUAAGCACGAAACUUGCCCCGA